UUUUUUUAAAAAAAUAGAUGUUAUUUCACUGCAAAAAUGAACAAGUAGCCUUAUACUUUGUACUCAUUUUUGCCUUUUUCUUUUUCUGUUUCUUGGGGGUUUUUUCUUUAUCUUCUGCUCACCGUGCUUCAUUCCUGUUUCAGCCAUUCAUUUCCUGAAUAAGUCUGAUAAUGAGGGUUGCCUCGUUAUUACAUUCAAAUGGACUCUACCUCUCUGGAUGUUGCCAAAUCCUGCGAUGCUGUCAGCAAGAUAAGAUCCAAGUUGACUCACUUCACAUCCUUCAUCUUCAGCACAACUGUGGCUAAGCUUUGAACAACUAUGAAUAGCAAUCUAAAAGGCCUCUAAAAGGAUGCUGGUAAUGACACAGUCUGAGGCCCAACUUCUAUUGUUCAUCUGUAAGCAUGCUCCUUAGCUUCAGCUCCUUCAACUCUGAUAUCUAUGGCUAUUCUGUU